ACCACCUGCUGGCAUAGUUGCUUGAUAAGCAGCUAAUCGAACUACUUCAAUGCGCGAAUUCUCGCCGAAAUUUCAAUUUGAAAUGUUUGAUCCCACUGAGAAAUAAGUCCACUACAAACAAAUACUCACACACACAUACAUAUAUAAGGCACCCCCACUCAUGAAUGUCGAUAAACGGUUUCAUUGAGUAACGAAAACAGCUGACUAACUGUGCGUGGGCUUCAUAUGCGUACGCCACGAUCAAACGCGCUCUCUCUCUCUCCCUCUCUCUCUUACUAUGCUCUGCUUCUCCCACUACCGUUUCUUUUUGGUGCGUUUUGGUAUGUACAUUCAUAGCUUUGAGACUAGAGUCAAAAUUAGGCAACGGUAAAAAAAACGAACGGUCGCUUGGGAAAGUGGAGCAUGAGCGCAGCUGGCAGCGACGUCAGCGUCAAGCAUGAGUAAUAAUGGGCAUUGCGCUGUGACGGUGCCAACUUUAAAUCGUACGAUCAGAGCACAAAGUUCGCUAACAGAGGUGCUACACUUGAGAGAAAAGGUCAGAACGAUUAGUAGUAGAGAGAGAGGGACAAAGAGCGAAAUAUAAAAUAAAUAAGAGAGAGCUGCGUUGCGCGUUGCAUGUGCCACAACAAACCCAUAAAAGUCAUACGAUGUCGAGAGAAUGACGUGGCGACGACCCAUCGUAAGGAUUAACGGGGGGAGAGGAAAGAAUGGAAUUGGCGACGCCACGCCGGUUGUAGCACAAAUCGAUGGCGCAGCAGCAGCAGCAGCUGUUGUGCGAGUGCAUCAAAUAUCUGGGACCUGAACAGCAUUGUUAUGUAAACAUCUGAGCUUUGGUAGAAAAACCAAUCCAGAAAGACGGAUAUGGAACGCAUGAAGAACAAAUCAAAAUCGAGUGCUAAUUUGCUAAAAAAAAAACGAGCACGGUCACAGCUUGAGAGAGGGAAAGAAAUAGGAGAAUUGCUCACGUCACGGGCAGCGCGUCAACGUCAUCGCCAAUUGGCAGGGGAGAAGCAGCAGCCGCGGCACUGCGUCGUUUUGUACAUAUUACACACAUACGUAUAUAUUUGUUGUAACCCAACAGACAACAACAACAACACCAUUUACCAUAGAAAAUUUAGGCCAACUUACUUUCAACUUUUCUCUUGAUUUAGCUUUAAUAUUUCGGCUAAAAAUCGAUGAGUGCUCGUGGUGCUACGUUGUAUUAUAUAUGUAUUAUAUUUUUUCACACAGAAUGACGCACCAUGAAUUAAAUUGUUUGUUUUUGUA